ACAGCAAUACUGUAAUGGAUGAGAAAUCACAGUUUUCCCUUAGGGGAUGCAUAUUACCCCUCCCCCCCUACUACCAACUCACACAAUCAGUUUGACAGCUUGCCCAGAGCAGACGUGUCAUUUGAUUGGAGCUUAGCGCGUUUUUGGCGGUGUUUUUUUAACUUUCGCCGACGGUCAUGGCGACGGUCGUGACGGCGGAGAGUUAGCAGCAGCCUUAGCAGUUCACGCCAUCAAGCGGAAGCAGCAGCUUCUCGCCGUCGAUGAGACACCGUUCGUUAUACUCUUCCUCAAGGGGCACACCAGUCUCAAGGAGUUGAGCCGAGGUGAAGAAAGUGGGACCAGUCGUCGUCCGGUGAGUGGCCUACCGGAACAAAGAACCACACGUGACCCAGUGCAAGAACUGCUUGCAGUUCGGUCACGGAACCAGUAACUGCCAUCUCAAGCCCAGGUGCAGCAGCUGUGGGGGUGCCCACAGCACAGAAAAGUGCAAAGCAGAAGAAACGCAAGCCAAGAAGUGUGUGUGAACUGCUCUGGAUCUCACGAGGGACCGCAGCUGUCCCAAACGUGCGCAGUUCAUCCAGUCGAGGCAGCAGGCAUCCAAGCCGAAACCGCCAGUAUGGAAAAAGGACAAACACACUCCGGCAGGAGCCGUGUUUACCGCGGCGGAUUUUCCUCCGCUACCUGUGGUGCCGUCCGUCGAGCCGGGAGAUAAACAUCCUCGUCCCGCAGGAAGAAGUAGCGAAAAUACUGGCACCGGCGCCGGUGCAACCCCGUGGAAGCAACAAGGUGAACGGAAGCUGUACAGUGAGUCGGAGCUGUGAACCGUUUACCGAGAAUACAGAGUUCGCUUGAGGCAGUGCAAGACACCCGAGGAACAGAUUGAUGUGAUCGCACACUUGUUGACACAUGGCACGAGAAAAUGAUCAUCUUCUUUUUAUUUUGUGUUGUAUUUUUGUAUUAUUGUUCCUCGGUCCUAACCUGGUCGCAGCACCUAAAAGGACCUAAUAAAAAUAAGUUAUCAGAAAAAAAAUCACCCCUUGGCCACCAAGCUGUUGGUGACAGUUUCGACGAGUGCUUUGACAUCAUGAAACGAAGAGCUAGUAGGAUUCACGGAAUGGUUGAAAUGGAAGAAGCUGCAGCUGAACAUCGCGAAGACGAAGUGCAUGAUAGUGACGACACGGCAAACCAACGACUGCAGACGGUGUGUACAGAUGGAUGGAGGAUUUGUGGAGCGGGUUGAGACGAUGAAGUACCGCGGAGUCAUGUUGGACGAAAAGUUGAAUUUCAACGAACAUAUUGACUAUACUAUUCGGAAGGCAGCACGGAAGUUUGGUGUUCUGUGUAGGAUCAAUCGCUACUUGACGGCAGAGACGAAAGUUCAGGUGUACAAUUCGCUCAUCGCUCCUCACUUUGACUAUUGUUCAUCGAUCUUGUUUCUGGGAACACAACUGGGAAGCGCCACAAUACUUGAAAGAAGCCAUGGUAUGCGGAAGGGAUAUCCAUGAGCAUGUCACUAGAGGAGCUGACGAUCUCAGAUUGCAGAACUGGAAAAAGGCAUGCACGCAGAAAUCUCUGUUUUACAAAGGAUUUAAACUUUACAACCAGCUUCCAGAGAAUGCAAAGACGACAAGCAACAUCAACGAGUUUAAAAGAAACUGCAAGGAGUUCGUACGGACACGGCCGUUGGAGUAGAAGUGACCCACGAUGGUACUGUGAGGUAGAGCAUGUUAUGACGGUCGGCCACUUCAUUAUCGGUACGCAUUCGCAUGGGAUCACUUUGGGCCGCAUAUGAUAAACCUGAUCAAAAGUAACACGAAUCUGGGCGCGGUUUAACCCUAUGCGCUCCUAUGCGAGUGGAAUAGCAAAUGGUUCCAAUACCCUAAAUUUGAUGCAAUCUGAGUGAUGAAAGAGUCUACAUAGGACUUCCCAAGUAACCACAAGCACUAAAUCAAAACUCUAAAUUCACUCUAAAUAAACAUUCCCCGUGCUAUGACACUUUAAAUAGUCUUUUCAAAUGUUUCGAAACAUUUGUAGCUUGAAGCAUUAUUACCUACUGUAUAAUAACAUAUAGAACAGCCAAUUAAAGUUUCAAAGCUUUUAGCACAAUAAUGUUUUGAAGCAUUAAUGGUAAGCUUUAUAUAUCACUGUAAAGUAGGCCUAUAAUGUUACAUCACACUUUGACAUUUCAUAAAUGUUUCAAAACACUAACUCAACUCUAGUGAUGGCAAUAAAAGUUUGGCAGUAUUUCGCCGUAUUUUUUUUUGUUUAUGGUUGGAAAAAUCGUUCCGCGUCUAUAAAAAGCUGCGAUGGCAAAAACAAAAUCCGUAAAGGAGGAGGUCCAGGUUUUGCUGUGUGAUCGAACCCUUAAAAAAAACCUUCGUCCACGUCACGGAUCAUUCCGGCAAGGAAACUGGAUGGCGCGUCAUCGGCGGCAAGAAGUGACGAGAUUUCGCUCUACGCCGCUCCGUUGGCCGCUCAAGACGUCGUUGAAAAGUCGCACAGAAUCACCACGGCGCGCACACCGGCGGAAGCCGCUCCAUGACCCCAGGAACGGGUGCCUAGUCGGUACUCUGAGCCCUGGCCGCAUCGAAAACAUGAUGCCGAUUCCCGUCCGAUUUGCCUCGCCGAAGGGAGGUCGCUACGAGAGAGAGUGCUGACAUUUUUGUGGUAGCUUUUUGUGACGCUGUGCGUGUUUUCUUUUACACACUCAGAAAUGUAAUUAAUGAGGAAUAAAGGAUAAAAUAGAUUAAAAAUACAAGUGCGCGAUAUCGUGAUUAACCUUUGUAGCUUAGUGAAGAAUAAAUGCUCCGAUUUAACCUGCCAGGUGUUUUUAUUUUCCCUGAACAAAAUAAAGUUGUUCUGACUGACUGUAUCGAAAAACAUCAACUGUUCAUCCAUAUUUCAGAACGGACGAGACGGUUGGCGCAGCACAUCAAGGAGAAACAUGUCAUAUAAAUCCAAUUCAAUACGCUGUUUAGAAUCUCCAAUGUAGAGGAACUCAACAAAAAAACACACAAAUAAGCUUUCAAAAACAUAAUCUCUGCGUGAAAAGCACUCUCCCCAGAAAGAGAGAGGUGCGCAAAGCUUUUUGAAUGUUUCUAUUUUUAAUAUUGUCGGUAAAGCAGUAUUUUGACAUUUUACCACGGUAUAACUUUAUAUCAACUCUACCCGUCGCCACUCAAUUUUACCUCCAUGCGUAUAGAGUGAAUAUAAAGUUUUGAGACUCUAUUGGAAUACUUUAUAUGUUGAUAUAGAGGGGACUUAAAGUUACCUUAUACAGU